GAAUCAGUGGCGUUGGCUUAUUUAUCUGUUUGAAAUUUCAGAGACAAUUGCUUUCUCACCCUGAUGGGAGCUGUGCCGAUGCAAACCAGUUAGUGAAAUCUGGCAACUGGUCUAUCAAUCUACCAUGCGGAAUGUUUUGGAGUCUCCAAAACGAGAAUUCAACCCUCAGAGGAAGCGUAAAGAGAAAGUGAGUGAGAAUUUUAUCAGAUAAUUACAUUUUUGUGUCAGAGUGUAACAGAAUGGAACUUGUUUGUUGUGCUU
ensembl:lncRNA